rnacentral:rRNA from 1 species
AGGGUUUGAUCAUGGCUCAGGACGAACGCUGGUGGCGUGCUUAACACAUGCAAGUUGAACGAGACGGUGGCUGAGAGUUAUUUAUAGCCCUUAGUCAUCUGGAAGUGGCGGAUGGGUGAGUAACACGUGAGCAACCAACCUUUUACUCGGGAAUAACAUGGGGAAACCCAUGCUAAUACCUGAUAUUAUCAAGAAAUGGCAUCAUAAUUUGAUGAAAGAUUUAUCGGUAAAAGACGGGCUCGCGUCCGAUUAGCUAGUUGGUAAGGUAAUGGCUUACCAAGGCCACGAUCGGUAGCCGGACUGAGAGGUCGACCGGCCACAUUGGGACUGAGAACGGCCCAGACUCCUACGGGAGGCAGCAGUGGGGAAUAUUGGGCAAUGGACGCAAGUCUGACCCAGCGAUGCCGCGUGAAGGAUGGAAGGCCCUCGGGUUGUAAACUUCUUUAGACAGGGAAGAAAGAAAUGACAUUACCUGUAGAAUAAGCCACGGCUAACUACGUGCCAGCCGCCGCGGUAAUAC